CAUUUUUGUAGUGUGUUGCGUUCUUUGCUGGCAAAUGCUUUGAAAAAUCAAGGGGGACCAAAUCUGUUCCAAUCUCUGCUCUGCUCUUAAGGUUAUGCUUGGUUAAAGGUUAAAAGAGGUUCCAUUCAUUUUGGGGGGCUAUAUCUGGUUAAAUAGGUUUCUUUUGAAUCACAUUUCGAGUUUCAUAAUUUAACACAUGUUGCUACAACAAUUUAGGUAUUUUGAAAUUAAAUUGUACUUUUAACUUGUGUUCCUUUCUCCGCUCUAGUUUCCACUCCCUGUUUCUUUUCACUUCUUUUCACCGAACUCUGUCUAGAUCCUGUCCUCUGCCAGUAUCUCGUUGA